rnacentral:rRNA from 1 species
GACGAACGCUGGCGGCGUGCUUAACACAUGCAAGUCGAACGGAAAGGCGCGGCUUUUGUGGGGUGCUCGAGUGGCGAACGGGUGAGUAACACGUGAGUAAACUGCACUUGACUGUGGGAUAAAUUCAGGGAACUGGGGCGAAUACCGGGUAGGAGCUUUUGCGGCGUGGUGGGGGUUGGAAAGUUUCGGCUGUUGGGGAUGGACUCGCGGCUUAUCAGCUUGUUGGUGGGGUAGUGGCUUACCAAGGCUUUGACGGGUAGCCGGCCUGAGAGGGUGACCGGCCACAUUGGGCCUGAGAUACGGCCCAGACUCCUACGGGAGGCAGCAGUGGGGAAUAUUGCACAAUGGGCGGAAGCCUGAUGCAGCAACGCCGCGUGCGGGAUGACGGCCUUCGGGUUGUAAACCGCUUUCGCCUGUGACGAAGCGUGAGUGACGGUAAUGGGUAAAGAAGCACCGGCUAACUACGUG